UAAGCGCACCGAUGCGUGAAGCUAACCGGUACUAAUGAACCGUGAGGCUUAACCUUACAACGCCGAAGCUGUU
rnacentral:rRNA from 1 species